rnacentral:lncRNA from 1 species
AAGUAAUAGUGAAGGAAGAAAUUAGAGAAUUACUUUGCACUUGAAGCCAUAAGUAAUAGUGAAGGAAGAAAUUAGAGAAUUACUUUACUCUUAAAGCCACAAGUGAUAGUGAAGAAAGAAGAUGGAGAACUAUUUUACUCUUCAACCAUUACUUUCAUGACAACAAAUCAAGUCGUUUUCUAGAGAAUCACUUCCAAUGAUUAAUAUGUCUAAAUUAGUAAAUUAUUUUGUAGAUAUUUUGAUUAAUUAAGUCAUUAGGAAUUAAUAAUCUAUGCAUUGAUUAAAAUCCAUGGUAAUUUUUUAUCACCUUGUGCUAAAU